CGUUUGUGUCCUGUCAGCUGUGCUCAGUUUUAUUAAAAUUUGUGAGAAGUGUAGUGUUUGUCAUGCAAGGAUAUCGGAAUAUUGUUAAGACAUUGGCUCGUCUUCCUGUCGCGAAUGAAACUCCAAAGAAAUUCAUUGUGACAAUGAUCGUUACAAUAUCAGCGUACAGGUACAAUAUCAGUAUGAGGAAAUUGGGUUAUGCAAGCUCGAUGUAACUUCUGGUGCAUCGGUUAUUACAAUAGAUAAAAAUAUCAUUUGAUGUUAAAGAGGAUUUAAGUCUUGAGGAACAAUGAUGAUAGGAACUAGGACGAUGAAGACUAUGUUCUAUGUCAGUUUCUGGAUCAAAGAAAGUCGCUUCAAACAGAUCAUAUGAACAUUUUCAUUGGUCAUAGCGAUAGGAUUGAUUUGUGAGACGAACUGUUGAAGCAUGGCGUUCUUUA